UGGGGAAUAUUGCACAAUGGAGGGAACUCUGAUGCAGCGACGCCGCGUGAGUGAUGAAGGAAUUCGUUUCGUAAAACUCUGUUCUAUGGGAAGAAAAGGACUGUACCAUAGGAGAAAGCUCCGGCUAAAUACGUGCCAGCAGCCGCGGUAAUACGUAGGGAGCGAGCGUUGUCCGGAAUUAUUGGGCGUAAAGGGUGCGCAGGCGGCUUUACAAGUUGGAGGUGAAAUAUUGUGGCUCAACCACAAACGUGCAUCCAAAACUGCAAAGCUGGAGUUAAGGAGAGGUAAGUGGAAUUCCUGGUGUAGCGGUGGAAUGCGUAGAUAUCAGGAGGAAUACCGGUGGCGAAGGCGACUUACUGGACUUAAACUGACGCUCAGGCACGAAAGCGUGGGGAGCAAACAGG
rnacentral:rRNA from 1 species